GACCUCUAAUCGGAAAAGACUACCCGCUGAGUUUAAGCAUAUCACUAAGCGGAGGAGAAGA
rnacentral:rRNA from 1 species